UACAGAGGGGGCAAGCGUUGUUCGGAAUUACUGGGCGUAAAGGGCGCGUAGGCGGCCUUCUAAGUCAUGCGUGAAAUCCCCGGGCUCAACCCGGGAACUGCGUUUGAUACUGGAGGGCUUGAAUCCGGGAGAGGGAUGCGGAAUUCCAGGUGUAGCGGUGAAAUGCGUAGAUAUCGUAAGGAAGACCAGUGGCGAAGGCGGGUCUCUGGACAGUUCCUGACGCUGAGGCACGAAGGCCAGGGGAGCAAACGGG
rnacentral:rRNA from 1 species